rnacentral:lncRNA from 1 species
UGUACAUCUAUCAAGGAGAGAUUAGUGUUCUACGUACACGUCACUUUCAAAGCGCUCCAAUCAAAUAAAGGCAAAAUUAAAGAAAGCAUUUAAACACUACUUUUGAUCAGAAAGCACUAUUGGGUUUCCCAUGCAUCUGCUUAUUAAUUAAUUGAGAGCCUCUAAGUUACAAUAAUAGUAACAAACAUCCCUCAUGUGAACUACACAAAUUGUGGGAAUCUUCUUUCUAAUUCAUGUACAUCUAUCAAGGAGAGAUUAGCGUUUUACGUACACGUCACUUUCAAAGCGCUCCAAUCAAAUAAAGGCAAAAUUAAAGAAAGCACUUAAACACUACUUUUGAUCAGAAAGCACUACUGGGUUUCACAUGCAUCUGCUUAUUAAUUAAUUGGGAGCCUCUAAGUUACAAUAAUUGUAACAUACAUCCCUCAUGUGAACUACACAAAUUGUAGGAAUCUUCUUUCUAAUUCAUGUACAUCUAUCAAGGAGAGAUUAGUGGUCUACGUACACGUCACUUGCAAAGCGCUCCAAUCAAAUAAAGGAAAAAUUAAAGAAAGCACUUAAACACUACUUUUGAUCAGAAAGCACUACUGGGUUUCACAUGCAUCUGCUUAUUAAUUAAUUGAGAGCCUCUAAGUUACAAUAAUUGUAACAUACAUCCCUCAUGUGAACUACACAAAUUGUGGGAAUCUUCUUUCUAAUUUAUAAUUUUAUUUAUUAAAAUCAUGAUAUUUACUUAUUCAUUUAAUAAAUUAUAAACAUAAAAAUUAGAAUAUUUAUUUAAACUAAGAUUUAAUGAUUUAAAUUAAUUUUUAAAAGUCUAUGCUAAAAAAUAUAUUAAAACAUUUAAUUUCAAGAUAUUUUACUUUAAUUUCAUAACAUUUUAUAUUUACUUUUUGUUAAAAAAAUUUACUUAGAUAUAUUUUAGCCCACGUGCUAUUGAUGGCCCACGGGCCGCGUACUAGCCCACCAAUGAACCGUGCUUAUUACGUGCUUUUUCGCGUGCCGUGCUUUAAGGCCCGCGUGCCUAAAAUUCAAGGCACGGCACGGCCCACGUGCGCGUCGUGCCGUGCCUCGUGCCUCACCGAAACGUGCUCGUGCCGUGCCGUGCCGUGCCACGUGCCGCCCGGCCCAUUGGCCAUCUUUAAUGUGAACCACACAAAUUGUGGGAAUAUUCUUUCUAAUUCAUGUACAUCUAUCAAGGAGAGAUUAGCGUUCUACGUACACGUCACUUUCAAAGCGCUCCAAUCAAAUAAAGGCAAAAUUAAAGAAAGCACUUAAACUCUACUUUUGAUCACAAAGCACAACUAGGUUUCACAUGCAUCUGCUUAUUAAUUAAUUGGGAGCCUCUAAGUUACAAUAAUUGUAACAUUGGCCAUCUUUAAUGUGAACCACACAAAUUGUGGGAAUAUUCUUUCUAAUUCAUGUACAUCUAUCAAGGAGAGAUUAGCGUUCUACGUACACGUCACUUUCAAAGCGCUCCAAUCAAAUAAAGGCAAAAUUAAAGAAAGCACUUAAACACUACUUUUGAUCAGAAAGCACUAUUGGGUUUCACAUGCAUCUGCUUAUUAAUUAAUUGAGAGCCUCUAAGUUACAAUAAUAGUAACAAACAUCCCUCAUGUGAACCACACAAAUUGUGGGAAUCUUCUUUCUAAUUCUUGUACAUCUAUCAAGGAGAGAUUAGUGUUCUACGUACACGUCACUUUCAAAGCGCUCCAAUCAAAUAAAGGCAAAAUUAAAGAAAGCAUUUAAACACUACUUUUGAUCAGAAAGCACUACUGGGUUUCACAUGCAUCUCCUUAUUAAUUAAUUGAGAGCCUCUAAGUUACAAUAAUUGUAACAUACAUCCCUCAUGUGAACUACACAAAUUGUGGGAAUCUUCUUUCUAAUUUAUAAUUUUAUUUAUUAAAAUCAUGAUAUUUACUUAUUCAUUUAAUAAAUUAUAAACAUAAAAAUUAGAAUAUUUAUUUAAACUAAGAUUUAAUGAUUUAAAUUAAUUUUUAAAAGUCUAUGCUAAAAAAUAUAUUAAAACAUUUAAUUUCAAGAUAUUUUACUUUAAUUUCAUAACAUUUUAUAUUUACUUUUUGUUAAAAAAAUUUACUUAGAUAUAUUUUAGCCCACGUGCUAUUGAUGGCCCACGGGCCGCGUACUAGCCCACUAAUAAACCGUGCUUAUUACGUGCUUUUUCGCGUGCCGUGCUUUAAGGCCCGCGUGCCUAAAAUUCAAGGCACGGCACGGCCCACGUGCGUGUCGUGCCGUGCCUCGUGCCUCACCGAAACGUGCUCGUGCCGUGCCGUGCCGUGCCACGUGCCGCCCGGCCCAUUGGCCAUCUUUAAUGUGAACCACACAAAUUGUGGGAAUAUUCUUUCUAAUUCAUGUACAUCUAUCAAGGAGAGAUUAGCGUUCUACGUACACGUCACUUUCAAAGCGCUCCAAUCAAAUAAAGGCAAAAUUAAAGAAAGCACUUAAACACUACUUUUGAUCAGAAAGCACUACUAGGUUUCACAUGCAUCUGCUUAUUAAUUAAUUGGGAGCCUCUAAGUUACAAUAUUUGUAACAUACAUCCCUCAUGUGAACCACACAAAUUGUAGGAAUCUUCUUUCUAAUUCUUGUACAUCUAUCAAGGAGAGAUUAGCGUUCUACGUACACGUCACUUUCAAAGCGCUCCAAUCAAAUAAAGGCAAAAUUAAAGAAAGCACUUAAACACUACUUUUGAUCAGAAAGCACUAUUGGGUUUCCCAUGCAUCUGCUUAUUAAUUAAUUGAGAGCCUCUAAGUUACAAUAAUAGUAACAAACAUCCCUCAUGUGAACUACACAAAUUGUGGGAAUCUUCUUUCUAAUUCAUGUACAUCUAUCAAGGAGAGAUUAGCGUUCUACGUACACGUCACUUUCAAAGCGCUCCAAUCAAAUAAAGGCAAAAUUAAAGAAAGCACUUAAACACUACUUUUGAUCAGAAAGCACUACUGGGUUUCACAUGCAUCUGCUUAUUAAUUAAUUGGGAGCCUCUAAGUUACAAUAAUUGUAACAUACAUCCCUCAUGUGAACUACACAAAUUGUAGGAAUCUUCUUUCUAAUUCAUGUACAUCUAUCAAGGAGAGAUUAGUGGUCUACGUACACGUCACUUGCAAAGCGCUCCAAUCAAAUAAAGGAAAAAUUAAAGAAAGCACUUAAACACUACUUUUGAUCAGAAAGCACUACUGGGUUUCACAUGCAUCUGCUUAUUAAUUAAUUGAGAGCCUCUAAGUUAUAAUAAUUGUAACAUACAUCCCUCAUGUGAACUACACAAAUUGUGGGAAUCUUCUUUCUAAUUUAUAAUUUUAUUUAUUAAAAUCAUGAUAUUUACUUAUUCAUUUAAUAAAUUAUAAACAUAAAAAUUAGAAUAUUUAUUUAAACUAAGAUUUAAUGAUUUAAAUUAAUUUUUAAAAGUCUAUGCUAAAAAAUAUAUUAAAACAUUUAAUUUCAAGAUAUUUUACUUUAAUUUCAUAACAUUUUAUAUUUACUUUUUGUUAAAAAAAUUUACUUAGAUAUAUUUUAGCCCACGUGCUAUUGAUGGCCCACGGGCCGCGUACUAGCCCACUAAUAAACCGUGCUUAUUACGUGCUUUUUCGCGUGCCGUGCUUUAAGGCCCGCGUGCCUAAAAUUCAAGGCACGGCACGGCCCACGUGCGUGUCGUGCCGUGCCUCGUGCCUCACCGAAACGUGCUCGUGCCGUGCCGUGCCGUGCCACGUGCCGCCCGGCCCAUUGGCCAUCUUUAAUGUGAACCACACAAAUUGUGGGAAUAUUCUUUCUAAUUCAUGUACAUCUAUCAAGGAGAGAUUAGCGUUCUACGUACACGUCACUUUCAAAGCGCUCCAAUCAAAUAAAGGCAAAAUUAAAGAAAGCACUUAAACACUACUUUUGAUCAGAAAGCACUAUUGGGUUUCACAUGCAUCUGCUUAUUAAUUAAUUGAGAGCCUCUAAGUUACAAUAAUAGUAACAAACAUCCCUCAUGUGAACCACACAAAUUGUGGGAAUCUUCUUUCUAAUUCUUGUACAUCUAUCAAGGAGAGAUUAGUGUUCUACGUACACGUCACUUUCAAAGCGCUCCAAUCAAAUAAAGGCAAAAUUAAAGAAAGCAUUUAAACACUACUUUUGAUCAGAAAGCACUACUGGGUUUCACAUGCAUCUCCUUAUUAAUUAAUUGAGAGCCUCUAAGUUACAAUAAUUGUAACAUACAUCCCUCAUGUGAACUACACAAAUUGUGGGAAUCUUCUUUCUAAUUUAUAAUUUUAUUUAUUAAAAUCAUGAUAUUUACUUAUUCAUUUAAUAAAUUAUAAACAUAAAAAUUAGAAUAUUUAUUUAAACUAAGAUUUAAUGAUUUAAAUUAAUUUUUAAAAGUCUAUGCUAAAAAAUAUAUUAAAACAUUUAAUUUCAAGAUAUUUUACUUUAAUUUCAUAACAUUUUAUAUUUACUUUUUGUUAAAAAAAUUUACUUAGAUAUAUUUUAGCCCACGUGCUAUUGAUGGCCCACGGGCCGCGUACUAGCCCACCAAUGAACCGUGCUUAUUACGUGCUUUUUCGCGUGCCGUGCUUUAAGGCCCGCGUGCCUAAAAUUCAAGGCACGGCACGGCCCACGUGCGUGUCGUGCCGUGCCUCGUGCCUCACCGAAACGUGCUCGUGCCGUGCCGUGCCGUGCCACGUGCCGCCCGGCCCAUUGGCCAUCUUUAAUGUGAACCACACAAAUUGUGGGAAUCUUCUUUCUAAUUCAUGUACAUCUAUCAAGGAGAGAUUAGCGUUCUACGUACACGUCACUUUCAAAGCGCUCCAAGCAAAUUAAGGCAAAAUUAAAGAAAGCACUUAAACACUACUUUUGAUCACAAAGCUCAACUAGGUUUCACAUGCAUCUGCUUAUUAAUUAAUUGGGAGCCUCUAAGUUACAAUAAUUGUAACAUACAUCCCUCAUGUGAACCACACAAAUUGUAGGAAUCUUCUUUCUAAUUCUUGUACAUCUAUCAAGGAGAGAUUAGCGUUCUACGUACACGUCACUUUCAAAGCGCUCCAAUCAAAUAAAGGCAAAAUUACAGAAAGCACUUAAACACUACUUUUGAUCAGAAAGCACUAUUGGGUUUCCCAUGCAUCUGCUUAUUAAUUAAUUGAGAGCCUCUAAGUUACAAUAAUAGUAACAAACAUCCCUCAUGUGAACUACACAAAUUGUGGGAAUCUUCUUUCUAAUUCAUGUACAUCUAUCAAGGAGAGAUUAGCGUUUUACGUACACGUCACUUUCAAAGCGCUCCAAUCAAAUAAAGGCAAAAUUAAAGAAAGCACUUAAACACUACUUUUGAUCAGAAAGCACUACUGGGUUUCACAUGCAUCUGCUUAUUAAUUAAUUGGGAGCCUCUAAGUUACAAUAAUUGUAACAUACAUCCCUCAUGUGAACCACACAAAUUGUGGGAAUCUUCUUUCUAAUUCUUGUACAUCUAUCAAGGAGAGAUUAGUGUUCUACGUACACGUCACUUUCAAAGCGCUCCAAUCAAAUAAAGUCAAAAUUAAAGAAAGCAUUUAAACACUACUUUUGAUCAGAAAGCACUACUGGGUUUCACAUGCAUCUACUUAUUAAUUAAUUGAGAGCCUCUAAGUUAUAAUAAUUGUAACAUACAUCCCUCAUGUGAACUACACAAAUUGUGGGAAUCUUCUUUCUAAUUUAUAAUUUUAUUUAUUAAAAUCAUGAUAUUUACUUAUUCAUUUAAUAAAUUAUAAACAUAAAAAUUAGAAUAUUUAUUUAAACUAAGAUUUAAUGAUUUAAAUGAAUUUUUAAAAGUCUAUGCUAAAAAAUAUAUUAAAACAUUUAAUUUCAAGAUAUUUUACUUUAAUUUCAUAACAUUUUAUAUUUACUUUUUGUUAAAAAAAUUUACUUAGAUAUAUUUUAGCCCACGUGCUAUUGAUGGCCCACGGGCCGCGUACUAGCCCACCAAUGAACCGUGCUUAUUACGUCCUUUUUCGCGUGCCGUGCUUUAAGGCCCGCGUGCCUAAAAUUCAAGGCACGGCACGGCCCACGUGCGUGUCGUGCCGUGCCUCGUGCCUCACCGAAACGUGCUCGUGCCGUGCCGUGCCGUGCCACGUGCCGCCCGGCCCAUUGGCCAUCUUUAAUGUGAACCACACAAAUUGUGGGAAUCUUCUUUCUAAUUCAUGUACAUCUAUCAAGGAGAGAUUAGCGUUCUACGUACACGUCACUUUCAAAGCGCUCCAAUCAAAUAAAGGCAAAAUUAAAGAAAGCACUUAAACACUACUUUUGAUCACAAAGCACUACUAGGUUUCACAUGCAUCUGCUUAUUAAUUAAUUGGGAGCCUCUAAGUUACAAUAAUUGUAAAAUACAUCCCUCAUGUGAACCACACAAAUUGUAGGAAUCUUCUUUCUAAUUCUUGUACAUCUAUCAAGGAGAGAUUAGCGUUCUACGUACACGUCACUUUCAAAGCGCUCCAAUCAAAUAAAGGCAAAAUUAAAGAAAGCACUUAAACACUACUUUUGAUCAGAAAGCACUAUUGGGUUUCCCAUGCAUCUGCUUAUUAAUUAAUUGAGAGCCUCUAAGUUACAAUAAUAGUAACAAACAUCCCUCAUGUGAACUACACAAAUUGUGGGAAUCUUCUUUCUAAUUCAUGUACAUCUAUCAAGGAGAGAUUAGCGUUUUACGUACACGUCACUUUCAAAGCGCUCCAAUCAAAUAAAGGCAAAAUUAAAGAAAGCACUUAAACACUACUUUUGAUCAGAAAGCACUACUGGGUUUCACAUGCAUCUGCUUAUUAAUUAAUUGGGAGCCUCUAAGUUACAAUAAUUGUAACAUACAUCCCUCAUGUGAACCACACAAAUUGUGGGAAUCUUCUUUCUAAUUCUUGUACAUCUAUCAAGGAGAGAUUAGUGUUCUACGUACACGUCACUUUCAAAGCGCUCCAAUCAAAUAAAGUCAAAAUUAAAGAAAGCAUUUAAACACUACUUUUGAUCAGAAAGCACUACUGGGUUUCACAUGCAUCUACUUAUUAAUUAAUUGAGAGCCUCUAAGUUAUAAUAAUUGUAACAUACAUCCCUCAUGUGAACUACACAAAUUGUGGGAAUCUUCUUUCUAAUUUAUAAUUUUAUUUAUUAAAAUCAUGAUAUUUACUUAUUCAUUUAAUAAAUUAUAAACAUAAAAAUUAGAAUAUUUAUUUAAACUAAGAUUUAAUGAUUUAAAUGAAUUUUUAAAAGUCUAUGCUAAAAAAUAUAUUAAAACAUUUAAUUUCAAGAUAUUUUACUUUAAUUUCAUAACAUUUUAUAUUUACUUUUUGUUAAAAAAAUUUACUUAGAUAUAUUUUAGCCCACGUGCUAUUGAUGGCCCACGGGCCGUGUACUAGCCCACCAAUGAACCGUGCUUAUUACGUGCUUUUUCGCGUGCCGUGCUUUAAGGCCCGCGUGCCUAAAAUUCAAGGCACGGCACGGCCCACGUGCGUGUCGUGCCGUGCCUCGUGCCUCACCGAAACGUGCUCGUGCCGUGCCGUGCCGUGCCACGUGCCGCCCGGCCCAUUGGCCAUCUUUAAUGUGAACCACACAAAUUGUGGGAAUCUUCUUUCUAAUUCAUGUACAUCUAUCAAGGAGAGAUUAGCGUUCUACGUACACGUCACUUUCAAAGCGCUCCAAUCAAAUAAAGGCAAAAUUAAAGAAAGCACUUAAACACUACUUUUGAUCACAAAGCACUACUAGGUUUCACAUGCAUCUGCUUAUUAAUUAAUUGGGAGCCUCUAAGUUACAAUAAUUGUAAAAUACAUCCCUCAUGUGAACCACACAAAUUGUAGGAAUCUUCUUUCUAAUUCUUGUACAUCUAUCAAGGAGAGAUUAGCGUUCUACGUACACGUCACUUUCAAAGCGCUCCAAUCAAAUAAAGGCAAAAUUAAAGAAAGCACUUAAACACUACUUUUGAUCAGAAAGCACUAUUGGGUUUCACAUGCAUCUGCUUAUUAAUUAGUUGGGAGCCUCUAAGUUACAAUAAUUGUAACAUACAUCCCUCAUGUGAACCACACAAAUUGUAGGAAUCUUCUUUCUAAUUCCUGUACAUCUAUCAAGGAGAGAUUAGCGUUCUACGUACACGUCACUUGCAAAGCGCUCCAAUCAAAUAAAGGCAAAAUUAAAGAAAGCACUUAAACACUACUUUUGAUCAGAAAGCACUACUAGGUUUCACAUGCAUCUGCUUAUUAAUUAAUUGGGAGCCUCUAAGUUACAAUAUUUGUAACAUACAUCCCUCAUGUGAACCACACAAAUUGUAGGAAUCUUCUUUCUAAUUCUUGUACAUCUAUCAAGGAGAGAUUAGCGUUCUACGUACACGUCACUUUCAAAGCGCUCCAAUCAAAUAAAGGGAAAAUUAAAGAAAGCACUUAAACACUACUUUUGAUCAGAAAGCACUAUUGGGUUUCCCAUGCAUCUGCUUAUUAAUUAAUUGAGAGCCUCUAAGUUACAAUAAUAGUAACAAACAUCCCUCAUGUGAACUACACAAAUUGUGGGAAUCUUCUUUCUAAUUCCUGUACAUCUAUCAAGGAGAGAUUAGCGUUUUACGUACACGUCACUUUCAAAGCGCUCCAAUCAAAUAAAGGCAAAAUUAAAGAAAGCACUUAAACACUACUUUUGAUCAGAAAGCACUACUAGGUUUCACACGCAUCUGCUUAUUAAUUAAUUGAGAGCCUCUAAGUUACAAUAAUUGUAACAUACAUCCCUCAUGUGAACCACACAAAUUGUGAGAAUCUUCUUUCUAAUUCAUGUACAUCUAUCAAGGAGAGAUUAGCGUUCUACGUACACGUCACUUUCAAAGCGCUCCAAUCAAAUAAAGGCAAAAUUAAAGAAAGCACUUAAACACUACUUUUGAUCAGAAAGCACUACUAGGUUUCACACGCAUCUGCUUAUUAAUUAAUUGGGAGCCUCUAAGUUACAAUAAUUGUAACAUACAUCCCUCAUGUGAACCACACAAAUUGUGAGAAUCUUCUUUCUAAUUCAUGUACAUCUAUCAAGGAGAGAUUAGCGUUCUACGUACACGUCACUUUCAAAGCGCUCCAAUCAAAUAAAGGCAAAAUUAAAGAAAGCACUUAAACACUACUUUUGAUCAGAAAGCACUACUAGGUUUCACACGCAUCUGCUUAUUAAUUAAUUGAGAGCCUCUAAGUUACAAUAAUUGUAACAUACAUCCCUCAUGUGAACCACACAAAUUGUGAGAAUCUUCUUUCUAAUUCAUGUACAUCUAUCAAGGAGAGAUUAGCGUUCUACGUACACGUCACUUUCAAAGCGCUCCAAUCAAAUAAAGGCAAAAUUAAAGAAAGCACUUAAACACUACUUUUGAUCAGAAAGCACUACUAGGUUUCACACGCAUCUGCUUAUUAAUUAAUUGAGAGCCUCUAAGUUACAAUAAUUGUAACAUACAUCCCUCAUGUGAACCACACAAAUUGUGAGAAUCUUCUUUCUAAUUCAUGUACAUCUAUCAAGGAGAGAUUAGCGUUCUACGUACACGUCACUUUCAAAGCGCUCCAAUCAAAUAAAGGCAAAAUUAAAGAAAGCACUUAAACACUACUUUUGAUCAGAAAGCACUACUGGGUUUCACAUGCAUCUGCUUAUUAAUUAAUUGGGAGCCUCUAAGUUACAAUAAUUGUAACAUACAUCCCUCAUGUGAACCACACAAAUUGUGGGAAUCUUCUUUCUAAUUCAUGUACAUCUAUCAAGGAGAGAUUAGCGUUCUACGUACACGUCACUUUCAAAGCGCUCCAAGCAAAUAAAGGCAAAAUUAAAGAAAGCACUUAAACACUACUUUUGAUCACAAAGCACUAUUGGGUUUCACAUGCAUCUGCUUAUUAAUUAAUUGAGAGCCUCUAAGUUACAAUAAUAGUAACAAACAUCCCUCAUGUGAACCACACAAAUUGUGGGAAUCUUCUUUCUAAUUCUUGUACAUCUAUCAAGGAGAGAUUAGUGUUCUACGUACACGUCACUUUCAAAGCGCUCCAAUCAAAUAAAGGCAAAAUUAAAGAAAGCAUUUAAACACUACUUUUGAUCAGAAAGCACUACUGAGUUUCACAUGCAACUGUUUAUUAAUUAAUUGAGAGCCUCUAAGUUACCACAAUUUAUUUGGUUUACAUGAAGGAUGUAUGUUACAAUUAUUAUAACUCAACAUUUGUCUAAUUAAUUACUCGUAACCACCGCAUACCAUUCCCACAAUUUGUGUGGUUCACAUGAGGGAUGUAUGUUACAAUUAUUGUAACUUAACAUUUGCCUAAUUAAUUACUCGUAACCACCGCAUACCAUUCCACAUGCCAUGCGACUUUAACUUAAGACAACGAUGGCUGGUCGUCUAAUUUUGGCCACUCGUGUCCCUUCUCGAAACUAUAUGACCGUCAAAUAAACAGCUCUUCACAAUCGAACGCAAUCAACAAAUAAUACCAAAUAAAAAUCAUCAAAAUAUAAACCACAGCUGCUCUGCACCUUCACCCAAAAAUAAUUUUUCAUGAGAUAGGCAAUAACAGACCCAUAACAAGAAUUAAAAAAAAAAAAGAUUUUAAAUUAAUAUAAGCUACAAAUAAUAUAACUUAAU